UAACCUCCUCAGCCUGGAGGGGCCCACAGGGUGGGUUGGGCGAGUAUCUCUUUGAAAGUCUUACCCUCAAGCAUGACUAGGAGA
rnacentral:pre_miRNA from 1 species